UGGGGAAUCUUCCGCAAUGGACGAAAGUCUGACGGAGCAACGCCGCGUGAGUGAAGACGGCCUUCGGGUUGUAAAGCUCUGUGAUCCGGGACGAAAGAGCCUGAGGUGAAUAGCCUAAGGAAGUGACGGUACCGGAAAAGCAAGCCACGGCUAACUACGUGCCAGCAGCCGCGGUAAUACGUAGGUGGCAAGCGUUGUCCGGAAUUCUUGGGCGUAAAGCGCGCGCAGGCGGCUUCCUAAGUCCAUCUUAAAAGUGCGGGGCUUAACCCCGUGAUGGGAUGGCACCUGGGAAGCUUGAGUGUCGGAGAGGAAAGUGGAAUUCCUAGUGUAGCGGUGAAAUGCGUAGAGAUUAGGAAGAACACCGGUGGCGAAGGCGACUUUCUGGACGAAAACUGACGCUGAGGCGCGAAAGCGUGGGGAGCAAACAGG
rnacentral:rRNA from 1 species